GUCCACGCCGUAAACGAUGUCCGCUAGCUGUUUCGAGUAUCGACCCUCGGAGUGGCGCAGCUAACGCGUUAAGCGGACCGCCUGGGAAGUACGACCGCAAGGUUAAAACUCAAAGGAAUAGACGGGGGCUCACACAAGCGGAGGAACAUGAGGUUUAAUUCGACUCUACGCGAGGAACCUUACCUGGGCUUGACACCUAGACGAACGUUCCCAGAAACGGGAAUUUCUAAUUUAUUUUGGCGG
rnacentral:rRNA from 1 species